rfam:Oryza meridionalis cultivar OR44 (W2112) chromosome 2, whole genome shotgun sequence.
AAUAAGUGUAGUUUUGCACUAUUAAUUUUCAGCAUUUGACCGUUCGUCUUAUUUGAAAUUUUUUAUGAUUAGUAUUUUUAUUACAAUUAGAUGAUAAAACAUGAAUAUUACUUUAUGGGUGACUAAAUAUUUUCAAAUUUUUUACAAUUUUUUCAAAUAAGACGGAUGGUCAAACGUUAUGCACGGAUAUCCACGGCUGUACUUAUU